GGAUGAACGCGGGCGGCGUGCCUAAUACAUGCAAGUCGAGCGAAUGGAUUGAGAGCUUGCUCUCAAGAAGUUAGCGGCGGACGGGUGAGUAACACGUGGGUAACCUGCCCAUAAGACUGGGAUAACUCCGGGAAACCGGGGCUAAUACCGGAUAAUAUUUUGAACUGCAUGGUUCGAAAUUGAAAGGCGGCUUCGGCUGUCACUUAUGGAUGGACCCGCGUCGCAUUAGCUAGUUGGUGAGGUAACGGCUCACCAAGGCAACGAUGCGUAGCCGACCUGAGAGGGUGAUCGGCCACACUGGGACUGAGACACGGCCCAGACUCCUACGGGAGGCAGCAGUAGGGAAUCUUCCGCAAUGGACGAAAGUCUGACGGAGCAACGCCGCGUGAGUGAUGAAGGCUUUCGGGUCGUAAAACUCUGUUGUUAGGGAAGAACA
rnacentral:rRNA from 1 species